GUUUGUUUGUAGAUAUAAAUGAUUUGGCCUGCCCCCUGAUUUAGGAUUAAAGGGCCGCAGUAUUAUAACUGUGCAAAGGUAGCAUAGUCAUUAGGUUUUUAAUUGGGAUCUUGUAUGAAUGGUUGGACAAAAGAAAUACUCUCUUUGUAUUUAAUUUUGAAUUUAACUUUUAAGUGAGAAGGCUUAAAUAAUCUAAGGGGACGAUAAGACCCUAUAAAACUUUAUAUUGUAGUUAUAUUGUAGUGAAUUUGUUAAUAAAAAUUUAAUUUAAUUAUUUAUUGUGUUGGGGAGAUGUAAGUAAAAUUUAUUUUAACUGCUUAUAAUUAAUACAGUUAUUUGUGAAGAAAAGUAGAAGAUCCUUUUUAAAGAUUAAUAGAUUAAGUUACUUUAGGGAUAACAGUGUAAUUUCUUUUGAGAGUUCUUAUCGAUAAAGAAGGUUGCAACCUCGAUGUUGAAUUAAAAGUUCUAUAUAAUGAAGAAGUUAUAUAAGAAGGUCUGUUCGACCUUUAAAAUUUUACAUGAUUUGAGUUCAAACCGGUGUGAG
rnacentral:rRNA from 1 species